AAUAGUUUUUGAUUUAAAAAAAAAAAAGUGUAACCUGAACUCUUAGAUGGCAAGCAAUCAGUUGUCAGAAUAAGAACUGAAAUACUUCUCCAGAACUGAAGUCUCACGAAUUUUUAUUUAAUGGCAUGUAAAACUAAGAAUGCGGGGAUUGUAAAAGUAGGGUCAUGUAUUAACUGACCGUUCCUUAAUUUCCAAAAAAGAGACGACUGAAGAACGACCGGCAGUAUUUUCUCCAUGUACCCUGUUUUCUACAGUAUUGUGUUGUUGCUGUUUUUUUUUUUUAAGAUUAGUUUGUUCAUUAAUAUGUCUUUCCCAUAAACACGAUAUACAUUUCAACCCAAGUAAAAUACAGGCAGGGUUUAUGGCUUCCAGUGAAUGGUGCUUGCCAUAAAUAAGCACGGACAGGUAAGAGGAACCAGCACUGCAAACUGCAUUGUCAAGGGGAGCAGUAAGGCCUUUUGAAGUGCUCUGAGCAGGAAGCAGCACAGCCUUUUUAAUUAGAGCACAUACAGCUGGAGGAUAUACAGGAGGAGUCUCUUCAGAAUUUAUUUUGGGAAGGGAGGGACAUAUCCUUCAGGUGUUCUCAUUAAUGCAGGCUUAAACACAGAGCAUAAAACCCAGUAUUUUAAAAAGAAAAAAAAAUAACCCUUUCCCCCCAAAUACCAGGGCUGAAGUCCUGCUUUGCUUAAAAUCAACUGAUGUUUUGCCAUUUAAUUCAAUGAGACCAUAAUUUCUUUAAAAAUAAUAAUAAUAUGGACUGCUUGAUCCUAUUCCCAUCAAUAAUAAGGCUCGAUCAGAAGAGUAAAACUUGCUCAUUUUUUAAUGCGCUGGUAUCCUGGAUCAGUGACCCCACUUCAGAUUGAAGCCCUCGGCUGUAGCGCGCUAACGAGUAACAUACUUGGGACGAGGAGCGGGAGCGUGCCAGCGCUCAUCAGUGAGGCUGCCUUGGACAGGACCUCGGCCUUGCACAACCCAGAGACGAGGCCAGCAGCUUAUUUGCAUCUGAAUGACUUCCUAAAGGGGGAGGACAGUAUCUGCUUUCUGAUUGUUAUCCAGCGUUAUUUCUACAUUGCCCUACAGACAAAAUCCUUUCUCAUUCCACUUGCGGGGCUGCAUAAAGGGUAGUGUCCCGAGCCCUUCAUGGAGAAGACAUCUCAGCUUGCCAGGCCCGGUGGGCUGGCAGGUGCCUGCUCGGUUUGGGCAGGGUCUGUGACGGGGAACAUCCAGGCGGAGAGGUGCAGGGCCGGCAGCCCCGCCGCAGUGCCCAGAGCCUCAGGCAGCCGCAGGGGUUGGGCUCCCCGCUGCCACGCACCUCGCUGAUGUGCUGAAGGCCGUAGAGCUGACAGCAGGGAAGCUCUGCAGUGUUUGCUUUAAAAUCAUUUUUCUUGUGGAUCUCUGGAGCCGUCUGGCAACUACUGUAUAACGCUAUAGCCUGGGAACUGAGGUGAAGUCAGGAAAACUUCUCAUUUUAAACCAGGUUUCCAUGCCACCUCCAAGCUGCUCACUUCCCUCUCGUGCAGCAGCCUGCCCACAACGGGGACCAGAGGGCUCCCGUCGCUCCUGCAGAGGUGGCCCAGGCUCUGGCUGCUGUCCAGCUGCCUCUUCUCGCCAGGACUGUUCUCCAGCUCCGCCUCCAGUUGUAGAUCCCACGGCAUCCCCUUGUCCCCAUCCCAACGUGUGCCUUAGGCCUGUUCCCGUGAGGCGAUCUGCUGGGGGAGCCGCUAUUGGAGCACCCAUCCUACCCCGUUUGCCCUGAUUU